AUUGAACGCUGGCGGCAGGCCUAACACAUGCAAGUCGAGCGGAGCGGCGGAUGGGUGAGUAAUGCCUAGGAAUCUGCAUGGUAGUGGGGGAUAACGUCCGGAAACGGGCGCUAAUACCGCAUACUAUCAGAUGAGCCUAGGUCGGAUUAGCUAGUUGGUUGGUUAAAGGCCUACCAAGGCGACGUGCCGGAACUGGUCUGAGAGGAUGAUCAGUCACAUUGGAACUGAGACACUGUCCAGACUCCUACGUGAGGCAGCAGUGGGGAAUAUUGGACAAUGGGCGAAAGCCUGAUGCAGCCAUGGCGCGUGUUUGAAGAAGGUCUUCGGAUUUUAAAGCACUUUAAGUUGGGAGGCGUUACCAGCAGAAUAAGCACCGGCUAACUUCGUGCCAGCAGCCGCGGUAAUAC
rnacentral:rRNA from 1 species